GGGCGCAUGGUGUAGUUGGUUAUCACGCUCGCUUAGCAUUGAACUUGGUUUGCGAGAGGUGUUGGGUUCAAUUCCCAAUGCGUCCA